UACGUAGGAUGCAAGCGUUGUCCGGAAUUAUUGGGCGUAAGGAGCGCGCAGGCGGUAACUCAAGUCAGAUGUGAAAUAUCCGGGCUUAACCCGGAGGGGUCAUUUGAAACUGAGUAACUAGAGUACAGCAGAGGAUAGCGGAAUUCCCGGUGUAGUGGUGAAAUGCGUAGAUAUCGGAAGGAACACCUGUGGCGAAAGCGGCUCACUGGACCUAACUGGCGA
rnacentral:rRNA from 1 species